UUAUGGCUCAGGACGAACGCUGGCGGCGUGCCUAACACAUGCAAGUCGAGCGGGGACAUACGACGGAGUCAAAGUUUCGGAUGGAGACGAAGAUGUAUGUUCUAGCGGCGGACGGGUGAGUAACGCGUGAGCAACCUGUCCCUUACAGGGGGAUAACACAGCGAAAGUUGUACUAAUACCGCAUGAGACCACGGGUAGACAUCUACCAGGGGUCAAAAGGAGCAAUCCGGUAAGGGGUGGGCUCGCGUCCGAUUAGAUAGUUGGUGAGGUAACGGCCCACCAAGUCGACGAUCGGUAGCCGACCUGAGAGGGUGAUCGGCCACAUUGGGACUGAGACACGGCCCAAACUCCUACGGGAGGCAGCAGUGGGGAAUAUUGGGCAAUGGGGGAAACCCUGACCCAGCAACGCCGCGUGAGGGAAGAAGGUUUUCGGAUCGUAAACCUCUGUCCUUGGUGAAGAGGAAGAGACGGUAGCCAAGGAGGAAGCCCCGGCUAACUACGUGCCAGCAGCUGC
rnacentral:rRNA from 1 species